rnacentral:pre_miRNA from 1 species
UCUAGAACUUGAGAUAUGGGUUGAACACUGAACAGUGUUUGGGCUACAGGAGAGAUUCCGACUUCUCUUUUGUUGCUAUAAUUUGAAAUUGAAAACGGCCCUUUUGAAUCUUGGACUCUCAUGAAAAUUUUAGGCCUAUGUCUUAGCUUUUUAUC